CGGCUCAGUAACACGUGGAUAACCUACCCUCAGAUCUGGGAUAACUCCGGGAAACUGGAGAUAAUACCGGAUAAUCCGUGAACGCUGGAAUGCCUCACGGUUGAAAGCUUUUGCGUCUGAGGAUGGGUCUGCGGCCGAUUAGGUAGUUGCUGGGGUAACGUCCCAACAAGCCGAUAAUCGGUACGGGUUGUGAGAGCAAGAGCCCGGAGAUGGAUUCUGAGACACGAAUCCAGGUCCUACGGGGCGCAGCAGGCGCGAAAACUUUACACUGCGCGAAAGCGCGAUAAGGGGACCUCGAGUGCGUGCGCAAUGCGUACGCUUUUCAGAUGCCUAAAAAGCAUGUGGAAUAAGGGCCGGGCAAGACCGGUGCCAGCCGCCGCGGUAACACCGGCGGCUCAAGUGGUGGCCGCUAUUAUUGGGCUUAAAGGGUCCGUAGCCGGACCAGUUAGUCCCUUGGGAAAUCUUACGGCUUAACCGUAAGGCUGCCAAUGGAUACUGCUGGUCUUGGGACCGGGAGAGGUAAGAGGUACCUCAGGGGUAGGAGUGAAAUCCUGUAAUCCUUGAGGGACCGCCAGUGGCGAAGGCGUCUUACUAGAACGGGUCCGACGGUGAGGGACGAAAGCUAGGGGCACGAACCGGAUUAGAUACCCGGGUAGUCCUAGC
rnacentral:rRNA from 1 species